UACGUAGGGGCCUAGCGUUGUCCGGAUUUACUGGGCGUAAAGGGCGCGUAGGCGGCCAGUGCAAGUCAGUUGUGAAAUCUCCGGGCUUAACUCGGAAAGGUCAACUGAUACUGCUCGGCUAGAGUGCGGAAGGGGCAACUGGAAUUCUUGGUGUAGCGGUGAAAUGCGUAGAUAUCAAGAGGAACACCUGCGGCGAAGGCGGGUUGCUGGGCCGACACUGACGCUGAUGCGCGAAAGCGUGGGGAGCGAACAGG
rnacentral:rRNA from 1 species